UACGGGGGGGGCAAGCGUUGUUCGGAAUUACUGGGCGUAAAGGGCUCGUAGGCGGCCAACUAAGUCAUACGUGAAAUCCCUCGGCUUAACCGGGGAACUGCGUCUGAUACUGGAUGGCUUGAGUUCGGGAGAGGGAUGCGGAAUUCCAGGUGUAGCGGUGAAAUGCGUAGAUAUCGGGAAGAACACCAGUGGCGAAAGCGCUCUACUGGGCCAUAACUGACACUGAGGGACGAAAGCUAGGGGAGCGAAAGGG
rnacentral:rRNA from 1 species